GUGGUGCGGUAUGGAGCCGAAUGCCUUGUGUUUUGUCAUCGCCUCCGCUUAAAAUGUGCUGGGUGUAUUUGCUUCCCCCGCCCCGCAGAAGAGGAGAGGCGAUUCCCCUUGGCAUACCAUAAGGAUACGCUUUUAGACAGCGUGGAACUAUUUUGCGACCUAAUGAGGCCCGAGGCUUCCCAGAAGGCCAGCGUUAGUGAUGCUGGGCAGCCUGAGGGCUGCUCUGUGCUUCCAGAGACUGCAGCUUCAGCAUAGGAAGCUUUGCUGGAGGGGUAGAGCAAGACUGUGCUUGAGGCAAAGGUGAAAAACUGUAGGGGUUUGUAUCGCCAGACUAUGUUUCUGACCAAGAACAAGCUUCAGCUCAAGGAAUUCAAUAUGCAGUACUUUCGUGAGAAGAAUCUUUGAUGAACUGCAGUAAUUCAUGGGAAUGAAUUUUGCAUGAGAAUUUCAUCUCCAGAGGCUGCUGUGAGUCUAAAGCACAUAACUGCAGCAAUUACCCAAGUGUGCCCAGGAACCCUCUGGUUCACGGCAUGUUAUUAACCUCUCACAGAUAUGAAUAUCAGCUGCACACAAUAUGUUAAACAGCUAACAUUCACAAGGUAUGUGCAGAUCUGCUGCAUGAGGUACUUAGUGUAUCAGGCAUAGGAUAUAAAGCUGAAAAGAGAAUUUUCACCUCUUGCCAGGUUUCAACUCAGACUUACAUUUCAAUUUUACCACAACUUAGGAGCAGGAAUCAGUUAGGGUUAAUGAGGAUAAGUUCAGCUGUUAAAUCUCAGUUCUAGAAUAGAUGCAGAUAUCUUAAACAUUUAAGGUUGUUUGAAUUGCCUUAAAACCAACACAAAUCAGUCUCAGAGUCCACCAGUGUGGACUAAGCAAUGAAGGCCUUUUUUGUAUAUAUGCAAUAGCAACCAUUUUAAUUUUGGAGAUAUUUUUCUGACUGAGUUCUUCGGGCACAGCCUUCGUGGCCAAAGCUGCGUGAAGAGCAACGGCAGUAGAAGACUGUCCUGUUUGUGCCACGACGGUUUUAGUUAAUGGAGACUGAUUUUAGGCGUGCACAGGCAACACUUCAGCCUCGGAUUUCACGCCUGGACCGUUUCCGGCUUUGCCAGCAGGUGGCAGAGGCCGACCGGCGCUCUGCACCCUUGCGCUGGGAACGCGCCGAGGGGACACCGCAUCUGCCUGGCAAGGUGACCCGCGUGCAUGGGGUUUACAGCGGGAGGGGAGUGCACGCAGCCUGUGCGUGCAUGUGUAGACUGGAAGAGAAGGGAAGGGCGAACUCUAUUUCAGUCCACUCUUUGUUUCCCCAAGGUUAAGCCCUGCUUACCAGAAUAAUCUUAUCAGCUGAAACCAUUUCAACAGAACUGGACCCUUAACAAAAUCGAGAUGCAAGCGCAUGAAAUACGGUAAAAGUUAGGCGUUGUAUGCUUUAGUUAUACCUAAGCAUGGCUAAAGAGGCUUGGGAGGGGAAAGACACUUGAAAAACCUGGGCAUCUGGAUUGUUAUUUGUGUUACUGCCUAAUUUACUGGAGUGCAACUGAUCCUUCUGAGAAGAAGCCAGGCACUGUACACAGAGCCUGACCUGAGUUACACCAGAAUAUCUGUAAUGACAGCAGCAAAGCUGCUCUGGAUGUUUACCAGUACAGGGGGUUCAAAGUCUCAUUUGAGGGCCCAGAUCUUCAUAGGGAUGUCACUUUCUACUGCUGAGAGACAGUUGAUUGACAAUGGAUUUUUUUUGAUGUAUAACAAAGUCUCUGAGUGAAGGACACAGUAGAAAAUAAUAGUGGUGAAAUCUCUAUAACAAGAAAACAUUUCUUUCAACAAUUUAGUCUUUCUAAUAAUAAAUGCUUUCAAGAAUAAAAAACGUUGCUAUUUUUCUGUGUGACA